GGUUCAAAUGGGCAAGUCAAGAUGGCAAUUUUGGCAUCUUCAAUUUGCUUUGGCAUUUGUGGGUGACUCAUAUCUUUGUCGACAAUGAUUCCAUAGAUGAGUUCUGUAUCUUCCAGUUUCCCACCUACUUUCCCCUCCACUUUAAUAAGGUCUAGGUUAACAUCUUUCCUCUCUAAAUCAGCAACAGCCAUGACUGCCUUUACAGCAAUCUCAGCCAAACUUCGCUUGCAACGAUUCACACUGAUAGAUAGGAGGGAACAUUUGGAUUAAACACAGUAGUCAAAAAGAGUAUGAAAUUAUAUCAAGGAAACAUGCUUACAUUUUGGAGGAUAAGGUGGUCAUGCAAGUUUGAACCAAAGGUUCUAUGUUUGUGGCAUUGAAAUCAAACUUAUGAGCUAUUUGUUCUAAAUGAUCAACAGCAAUCCUUGAUGAUAUCUCGAAUCCUUCUGCAACUCGGAUGGGAUGGAUUCCACGUUCCAGA
rnacentral:lncRNA from 1 species